GCUAUCCCGGGCUCCUGGUUGCGGACGGAGGCGGGCAGCGGCUCAUUUUCGGGGAGCGGGGAGAAGCCGGUAUGGAGCCAACCAACUGGGUCAGCGAAACCGCAGUCGUCGCGGCCCCUUCCCGGCGCGGCUCACGAUAUUGCAGUAUGUUAUAACGCUAUGGUAAUCAAAACCGGAACAGUGAUGAUACUGCAACAGAUAGAUCGAUGGAUUGAAGUCGAAGACCCAGACGCAUAUUCAAAUCUAUUUUAAAACCAAAGUGCUAUAGCAAAGCCUCCAAAAAGGCUCCCAAUGUUCCCCACCUUCCAGUUCACACCCCGGGCUCUUGGAUCACUUGCUCUGGGGAAGGAGACUGUAGUAGGAGAAGAUGCUCCCAGCUGCCUUUGGAGAAGCCUUCGUGACUAGGAACGAGAACCCCAGCUGAAAGCCAGCAAGUCAAUGAGGGCUGCCAACAAACAUGUGAGUGAGCUUAGAAGGGGAUCUUCCUGCAAUUGAGCCUUCAGAGGACCGCAGUUCAAGUGGCUUCUGACCCAGAACUGCUCAACUCUGCCACUCCCAGAGUCCCAACUCUCAGAAACCAUGUGAGAUAAUAAGUGUUUGUUGUUUUAAGCUGCUUUGCUGAGUUUUGGGAUAAGUUGUUGUGCAACAGAUAAUUAAAACACGUGGUGUAUAAAUAAAAUCAAUGAAACCAACCCGGUCAAUGACUCGUAAGUUAGAUGCUUUGACGGGUUUUGACACUUCUGUUUCAUCUUAAUUGUUUGCCACAAAAGUAAUCCCUUCGGGUAAAACAUGUUAAGAACAGUUCCUAACAGGACUUUAGAAAAAUUAACAAUUAUCUUUGGGAACUAAAUUGUAACCACAGCAUUAUUUUCCAUUUUAUUAAACUCAUUAAAUGGUAUUGCAGUAUAUUUGUUUCUAUUAAAAAACAUGGUAUUCGACUCUGGGAGAAAACCUCUUGCAAAUUAGUCUGAAACUAUCAUUUCUUUCUAGCGAUGUCUAAUAAUAUAAUAAUUGCUUAGUGGAAGUUCCUAAGAGAUGGACUGACUUUAACAUAUAUUUAAGUGUAAUGUUUAGACAAGUUCUUUUGCGGUAUUUGAAGAUAGUUCGUUUUUGUGCACCUCCUCCUUUAUAUCACUAAGAUGGUUUGCAAUCUCUGUCAUUGUUCUUGGUCGAAAAUCAAACUUCAGUAGAGUACCUAUGUGAAUUCUAACAACUUCUGAACUAGUGAAGCCCUACAUAAUGAAGACUUAUCAUGUGUAAGGGAACUGGAAAAGGCUAAAAUCCCAAGUUACGAGUCAAGGCAGUAGUUCCAAGCAGCUCGUGUACUUGCCAGGAUUACGCCACGAGCGUUCUCCAUGCUCCACUAAGGUUGGAAUUCAACUUUUGGUACUAACUUGUCUCAAUCUUGGCCACAGUGGUAAUUUCAUUUUCCUACUUGUUUUCCCUCAAUGAGAAUGACUAGCGGCAAUUGAUUUUUCCAUGUAGAGAAAGAAGCAAAUUGAAUCCCUACUUCACAAUCUAAAAAAAAGAAAAAAAAAUUCCACAUGAAUCAAGGGCUUACAUACGAAAGGCAGAACUUUAAGACUUUUUUUUUAAAGAUUUUAUUUUUUAUUUAUUUGAGAGAUAGAGGGAGAGUGAGUGAAAGAGAACAAGUAGGGGGAGUGGUAG